CGUUGUUUUUUCUUCAGUCCCCCAAACUCCAACAGAGAAACUUCGUUGUUUCUUCUCCUUCGUGGUUCGAUCUAGAGAGGAGAUGAUGAAAAUUGAGAGGAAAUAUCAUGUAAUGAUUUUUGGUAGUGGUAUUGAUUGAAGGAAUCGAUUCAAACUAUGGGAAAGGAUAAAUCAGUUGGAAAUUGCAGGACAGACAGAUAUUCCAGUGGUCGAGGGGUCACAUACUACAUUUACUGAAAGUAUUUAUCCGAUGGCAAUGGAGGAUGGAUUGCCUGUGUAGUUCAUGGGAAUUUGCUGAGUAGUUUCAUGGCAUUUUUUUGUUGCAUUGGCACUUAGAUCAGGACGUACACAGACAGGGUCCCCUACAAUUUACACUUUUUUUCAGUGAUCAAAUUCUUUACUUAUUACCCAACUGGUAGUAGUUGGACCCGUGACUGUAGGAGGCGUGCAUCUUUAGCCAAGAAUCCUUGAUUGCCAUCUCAUGAAUCUUUAUUUUCUUUUUUGUCUCUGUUUUGUGCUGCCUGUAAAACUAUAGGUCUCGGUCUCAGCCUCUUUUGAGAUGUGAUUUCUUUUUGUUAUAUUCUCUGUUUCUGCUUUAGCUUUUUGUAUUUUUUUGAACGGGGCGUUUCUUUUAACUUUUAAGUGAUCAAAUUUUAUGUACAAGGUCCUGGUUAGAGUAAUCUUUUCAAUAGUGAGAGCCACUGGAUCAUUUUUAUCAAAACGCUAACACUAGAGACUAGACUAUGUGCAUACUUGGCAAACAAGGAUCGAAGUUACGUGCAACACAACCAUGUAAUAACCAAAAGACAGUGAACCCAUUCAGGUAACCAAAGAAAAAUUAAGGAGAUAUCCUAGUUUAGUGUGUAAUUUGGGCACUAUAGUAGAUAGUCUGACAUUAGCUUGAUCAUAGUCACAUUGACCUGAACUGCGUCAUUUUCUCAAAGGUGCAGUGAUCAAAGGGCCUUUUAUUUUGCUGUUCAUAAUACAUCUGUUGUUGUAAGCACCCAAGUAAGACAAACUGUUGUUACAAUCAUUGAUUAAUUAGUCUUAAACAGUACUUAUGGUACAGUAUGUAGAUAACAUGGGAUUGUGUUCAUAGUCACUAAGUCUCUUUACAUUUUGAUCUAACCUGAUGUUGUCCGUGUAAUUAUAUUAAGCAUAAAAAAAUUUAAUAUACUUGGAGUUGGUAGUUGAGUUACAUGGAAAUUUUAGUGGGUGAUAUUGCGAGUAUAAUCUUCGCAUAUGCCAACCAUUUCCCAUAUGCCAGGGAAUGUCCAUCAUAACGGAAGGAAGCUAUUACGAGUAUAAUCUUCGCUGUUCCUAGAUGUUCAGAUUUGCCAGGGUUAUUGCAGAUUCAGUGUCUAUUUACUGCAAAAUAUGGAAAAGAAUUCAUUUCUGCCGCUGCUGAGCUCAAACCUGGCACCAUUGUUAAUCGCACUGUAAAGUAGAUCCAUUACGUCUUGUUUGCGAUUCAAACUAGGGAGUACAACCUUGUUGUACAAUCUUUUCAUAACUUGGGUUUUAGUAAUUUCCUGUUUCCUUUUGAUUUAUUAAAAUAUGUAGAUAAUUGAAAAGCUUUCUGUGAAAGCACCAUCUGCUGAAGUAAAACUCAGUCUUCUGAUUGAAAUUGCUCAAAAGUACAAUCUGCAUUGGGAUCCUUCAAACGCUAUAGCAGAGUUCAGCAAAAAGCAUGAAUCUUCUGAUGUAUGUUUAGGAAUGAUUGCAUGGAAAGCAUGGAAGAGCUGGAGCAAUGGAAUUGAAGUGGAAAGCAGUGAAUAUUUGGCAGUGUUUUUUGUGGUGUUGGCUUGUUGUUGUCUUCAGUUGGAGGAAGUGGUAUUGGCAGAAGAUGAUGAAGUUGAGUUGAGAAGAUAGACAUGAAAUGGUGAGUUGUAGGUGCAGUUUUGGUGUUGGGAUGUUUGAACUGGAAUGCCUUGAACUGUGUUGAUAAAUGCAGCUGUGCAGUGAAUGAAACUGAGAUGCAGCUUAGGAUGAUGCAAGACAAUGAGCUGGUGCUGUUAUUUAUGAAGCUACAGAAUGAAUUUGAUAUUGCAGCUGCAAUUGCAAUGGAUGCAAUGGACUGAAAUGAGUUUAGAAGAUCAGGGCUGGUGAAUGCAGUUGCAGAUAAUUGUGGUAUUGAUCUGCAAAUGGAGUUCGGGAUGAGAUGGAACUGAAGAAAUGGCUAGCUGCAGUUGGUUUAUGUUGAUUUGGUGUGAAGCAGUGGUCAGGGAACUGUAGGUGCUACGGUGGUGCUGCAAUGAAGAAAAUAAGAGAGAUAGAUACUGAGAUUGGGAAGAUAUGAAGCUGCCGCAGCUGUGGAAUGUGGGUGAACUGAAGUUGUGAUGCGCAAUGAGGCGCAGCAGGAGCUUAGGCCUUGGCAAAUUGGACCAGUCCGCUAAACUGACUCUGAUUCACCAUCUGACUAGACCCUGACUCAGUUCUUGACCGGGUUGACUCAGCUGACCUGAACGGAUUGACUCGUUUAACAGGUGACAUGAUGGACUUUGCCGGUCACCUGAGCUACUUUCCCGGCCAACUUCUGGCGAUCGAACGUCUCUUUAACGAUGUUUUCUUCAUUUGAAAAUCUGAAUCCACGCAAUAAUUUAGGUAUCGCUUCGUCAAGUUCUUCGGUCGGCCCUCCCACCGUGGCAACGGUUGUACUAGUAACUUAUAAAAUAAUCGGAAAAUGGGUUAUUUGUCCAAA